CAGGACGAACGCUGGCGGCGUGCCUAAUACAUGCAAGUCGAACGGUCUUUCUAUGGAAGCUUGCUUCCACUGAGAAGAUAGUGGCGAACGGGUGAGUAACACGUGGGUAACCUGCCCAUAAGAGGGGGAUAACAUCCGGAAACGGGUGCUAAUACCGCAUAGUUUUCUUGAUCGCAUGAUCGGGAAAGGAAAGACGGCCUUUGUGCUGUCGCUUAUGGAUGGACCCGCGGCGUAUUAGUUAGUUGGUGAGGUAACGGCUCACCAAGACGAUGAUACGUAGCCGACCUGAGAGGGUGAUCGGCCACAUUGGGACUGAGACACGGCCCAAACUCCUACGGGAGGCAGCAGUAGGGAAUCUUCCGCAAUGGACGAAAGUCUGACGGAGCAACGCCGCGUGAGUGAAAGAAGGUUUUCGGAUCGUAAAACUCAGUUGUCAGAGAAGAACAAGUUGGAGAGUAACUGCUCCAGCCUUGACGGUAUCUGACCAGAAAGCCACGGCUAACUACGUGCCAGCCGCCGC
rnacentral:rRNA from 1 species